rnacentral:piRNA from 2 species
UGCACAAAGACCGGGAAGCCUGAAGGUGU